UAUACUUAUCUAGACAAGGCGGCAGACUCAUGUAAUUUCAAGAAAGUAGAAUUGUCAUGUAUAUAUGUAUACUGUUUUCGACACAUAGAAUGUGUUUCCUUUUUGGUUAUUUGGAGAUAUAAUCAGACACAUGCUCUGUGCAAUUGUUUUUACUAAUAUUUACCAUUUAAAAAAUAUUAGUACAAAAAAGAGAGCCACAUUUGAAGCUGAUUUAGAUUGGCUAUGCUUGAAUUUGCGAGGCAAUGAGCUUACUCUGAAGUUUUCUAGUGCUACUUCCCAAUUGAACUAAGGAGGUUCUGUUGGUAUCAUGUCAACUGUUCGACAAGAUUGGGUUCCUUCAGUAGAUUAAUAUGUGGCAGAAGUUAAAGAUAAGAAAAUACCUAAAGUUUCAGUUGUGCCGAAGUGAUAGUGAAUCUCUACGUACAACUGUACACGCACAAGCUGAUUGGAUCCGUCAGUAUAUGGAACAAUAGGAAGAGGAUGAAGCUGAAAGUUGGAGAUCUGGUUUUUUUGACGAUGGUUCCCUAGAGCAGAACGUCCAAUAUUCAUGAACAUGAGACAGGGAUGGACGAAGUGGCUGUCAAUAACAGCUCUAAUGAGUUCACCGAAAACAAUCCAUCAAGUAUUCUUAUAGAUUGCAAGGUGGCUUCAGGAGGAGAACUGUAGAGCUUGAUGAUUUCUUAUUUGAAGAAGGUUCCUCCGCUGAUGUUUCGGCUACUAUACUAGAACUGCAAGAAGAAAGAGAAGAUGAGAGAAUUAUGUAGUCAGAAAAACUUGGAGAAGUUGGAAGGUAUAUGGAAAAAGGGAGAUCCAUAAAAGUUCCAAAGGUUUUUCUUCAACAACUUUGUCAAAGAUCAGGGUGGGAGGAACCAAAAUAUGCGAAAGUACCUGGAAAUGGAAAUAUUUCAAGUUAAUCAGUUAGUAGAAUGCACAAAACCAGUGGGAGGGGUAAGAGCAGAAAAGCUGGAGGGCUAGUAAAAUCGAACUUCCUAGUCAGGAUCAUGCUUCUUCUACUGUUGAGGCUACUUCUGUGGCUGAAAGAGUUGCUGAUGAGCGUUGUGAAUCUUCACCAGGUUCAAGUGAGUCCUUGGUUGGUUACCAAGUUCGCCUUGAUAGUGGAAGGAAUGAGAGAACAAAGCUCCUCUUUUGUACAACUGGCAUUCUUCUGAGAAUG